CAAGAUCAGCCAGUCAGCCUGCAGCCUCCAGAGGACUGGGCAGACCCCUGGGCCAGUUCCUUGGUUCAGGUCUUCCUUCUUAGUGACGACUUCUUUGGUGCGCCAGUAGGAAAUCAGAAACUGGACAGGACCACCGCCUCAGAACCAGUAUGAGACAGAAGAGAAGUGUCCCUCCCAUCUUCCCAGCAGCAGCCUUGGGCAGUCAGUCAGCUUCUCAGCCACUGGGGAUCUCACCCUAAGCACACAAGCGCUGAGUCCUCCUGGCUGAGAGCUUUUAGAGACGCCACUUUGGGGAUUAAACUGGAAGUGAGUUCUUAGUAAUCACAAAUUGUGAAUGUUCUGGACUAAGACAGUGAAAACAGCACUCAAUUUGCACUCUAACCCUAGGUUUAUUCAACAGUCCUUUCACUCUACACAAGUACAAACACAACCUUAUCUAAAAUGCUACAAAGUUAUAAAACUCAAAACAGAUUUUAUAGUACUGACUGUACAACAAAAGCAAAGAGGCAACGCACACAUUGCCAAGGCUAACCUGCGACAUCACCAUGAAUGGCAGGUGACAAUGGGGUGGGCUAGGUUUCAUCAGGACCCUGUAGAACUGGUUCACCAAUUUUAGAAAGUAACAGAGACACUGGGACAGAAAAGACAACCAUUUAUGGAGGAAUCCUUCAAAGGUUUUAACCCUAGAAGGUGAAGGG
rnacentral:sRNA from 1 species